GACGAACGCUGGCGGCGUGCUUAACACAUGCAAGUCGAACGGUGAAAGCGGAGCUUGCUCCGCUGGAUCAGUGGCGAACGGGUGAGUAACACGUGGGCAACCUGCCCCUCACUUCGGGAUAACUCCGGGAAACCGGGGCUAAUACCGGAUAUGACCUCCUUGGGCAUCCUUGGAGGUGGAAAGUUUUUCGGUGAGGGACGGGCCCGCGGCCUAUCAGCUUGUUGGUGAGGUAGUGGCUCACCAAGGCGACGACGGGUAGCCGGCCUGAGAGGGCGAAAGGCCACACUGGGACUGGGAGGCGGCCCAGACUCCUACGGGAGGCAGCAGUGGGGAAUAUUGCGCAAUGGGCGAAAGCCUGACGCAGCAACGCCGCGUGCGGGAUGACGGCCUUCGGGUUGUAAACCGCUUUCAGCAGGGAAGAAGCCGCAAAGUGACGGUACCUGCAGAAGAAGCACCGGCUAACUACGUGCCAGCAGCCGCAGUAA
rnacentral:rRNA from 1 species